rnacentral:tRNA from 1 species
GGAGGAAUCCCCUAGCGGCAAUGGGAUCUGACUGUAAAUCAGACGCGAAAGCUUCGAAGGUUCGAGUCCUUCUUCCUCCACCA